rnacentral:rRNA from 1 species
GACGAACGCUGGCGGCGUGCCUAAUACAUGCAGGUAGAACGCUGAAGGAGGAGCUUGCUUCUCUGGAUGAGUUGCGAACGGGUGAGUAACGCGUAGGUAACCUGCCUGGUAGCGGGGGAUAACUAUUGGAAACGAUAGCUAAUACCGCAUAAUAGUAGAUGUUGCAUGACAUUUGCUUAAAAGGUGCAAUUGCAUCACUACCAGAUGGACCUGCGUUGUAUUAGCUAGUUGGUGGGGUAACGGCUCACCAAGGCGACGAUACAUAGCCGACCUGAGAGGGUGAUCGGCCACACUGGGACUGAGACACGGCCCAGACUCCUACGGGAGGCAGCAGUAGGGAAUCUUCGGCAAUGGACGGAAGUCUGACCGAGCAACGCCGCGUGAGUGAAGAAGGUUUUCGGAUCGUAAAGCUCUGUUGUAAGAGAAGAACGAGUGUGAGAGUGGAAAGUUCACACUGUGACGGUAUCUUACCAGAAAGAGACGGCUAACUACGUG